GAGUUCUUAGUUAAAUGGUUUAAUAUUCGUCUUCAAAACGAAAGUACUGUGUUCGAUCCACAGAGAACUUG
rfam:Hanseniaspora opuntiae strain AWRI3578 Hanseniaspora_opuntiae_AWRI3578_scaffold228, whole genome shotgun sequence.